rnacentral:rRNA from 1 species
UGCCAGCAGCCGCGGUAAUACGGAGGGUCCAAGCGUUGUCCGGAAUUAUUGGGUUUAAAGGGUGCGUAGGCGGUCUUUUAAGUCAGAGGUGAAAUCCUACAGCUUAACUGUAGAACGGCCUUUGAAACUGGAAGACUUGAGUACACUAGAGGUAGGCGGAAUUUAUGGUGUAGCGGUGAAAUGCAUAGAUACCAUAAAGAACACCGAUAGCGAAGGCAGCUUACUGGAGUGUAACUGACGCUGAGGCACGAAAGCGUGGGUAGCGAACAGGAUUAGAUA